UGGCACCCAAGAAAGAGAAGAUAUCCUCUUGCAGGCUCUGGCUUCUAAAGGACUGGCAUUUCCCGGCAGUCCUCUGAGCUAUGAGAUGGAGUCCAAGCCCUAACCCUCAAAUCAAUCAAGUACUGAAGAAGACCACCGAGGGGGAAAAAUCAAUGAAAAAAAAAGUCUUCACAACAAAGCAAUAA
rnacentral:lncRNA from 1 species